rnacentral:rRNA from 1 species
AGAGUUUGAUCCUGGCUCAGGACGAACGCUGGCGGCGCGUCUUAAGCAUGCAAGUCGAGCGGUAAGUUGGUAGCUUGCUACUAACCUAGAGCGGCGGACUGGUGAGUAACGCGUGGGUGACGUACCCUUGUGACGGGGAUAGCUCCUAGAAAUAGGAGAUAAUACCGGAUACGCUGUGUGUUGUCAGAGGACACACAGGAAAGGUUCUUUUGAAUCGCACAAGGAGCGGCCCGCGUACUAUUAGCUAGUUGGUGAGGUAACGGCCCACCAAGGCGACGAUAGUUACCCGGCCUAAGAGGGUGAUCGGCCACAUUGGGACUGAGACACGGCCCAGACUCCUACGGGAGGCAGCAGUCGGGAAUAUUGCACAAUGGAGGAAACUCUGAUGCAGUGACGCCGCGUAUAGGAUGAGGGUCUUUGGAUUGUAAACUAUUGUCGACAGGGAAGAAAAAAAUGACAGUACCUGUGGAGGAAGCUCCGGCUAACUACGUGCCAGCAGCCGCGGUAAUACGUAGGGAGCGAGCGUUAUCCGGAUUUAUUGGGUGUAAAGGGCGCGUAGACGGAUCUGCAAGUUGGAUGUGAAAUCCCUAGGCUUAACUUAGGAACUGCAUCCAAAACUGUAGACCUUGAGUAUGGGAGAGGAAAGCGGAAUUCCUAGUGUAGCGGUGAAAUGCGUAGAUAUUAGGAGGAACACCAGUGGCGAAGGCGGCUUUCUGGACCAAAACGGACGUUGAGGCGCGAAAGUGUGGGGAGCAAACAGGAUUAGAUACCCUGGUAGUCCACACCGUAAACGAUGGAUACUUGGUGUAGGGAGGAUAAAACUUUUCUGUGCCGGCGUUAACACAAUAAGUAUCCCACCUGAGUAGUACGACCGCAAGGUUAAAACUCAAAGGAAUUGACGGGGGCCCGCACAAGCAGUGGAGUAUGUGGUUUAAUUCGACGCAACGCGAAGAACCUUACCAGGGCUUGACAUACAUAGGAAUAGUAUAGAAAUAUGCUAGUUCUUCGGAACCUAUGAACAGGUGGUGCAUGGUUGUCGUCAGCUCGUGUCGUGAGAUGUUGGGUUAAGUCCCGCAACGAGCGCAACCCCUAUUGUUAGUUGCCAGCAAGUUAAGUUGGGCACUCUAGCAAGACUGCCGUGGAUAACACGGAGGAAGGUGGGGAUGACGUCAAAUCAUCAUGCUCUUUAUGUCCUGGGCUACACACGUACUACAAUGGGGAGUACAGAGGGAAGCUAAGCCGCGAGGUGGAGCAAAACCCUAAAACUCCUCUCAGUUCAGAUUGCAGUCUGAAAUUCGACUGUAUGAAGAUGGAAUUGCUAGUAAUUGCAGGUCAGAAUACUGCAGUGAAUACGUUCUCGGGCCUUGUACACACCGCCCGUCACGCCAUGAGAGUCGGAAACACCCGAAGCCUGUGAGCCAACCGUAAGGAGGCAGCAGUCGAAGGUGGGUCUGGUGAUUAGGGUGAAGUCGUAACAAGGUAGCCGUAUCGGAAGGUGCGGCUGGAUCACCUCCUU